rnacentral:rRNA from 1 species
UGCCAGCCGCCGCGGUAAUACGGAGGGUCCGAGCGUUAUCCGGAAUUAUUGGGUUUAAAGGGUCCGUAGGCGGGCUAAUAAGUCAGGGGUGAAAGUCUGCGGCUCAACCGUAGAAAUGCCUUUGAUACCGUUAGUCUUGAGUCAUGGUGAAGUGGGCGGAAUAUGUAGUGUAGCGGUGAAAUGCAUAGAUAUUACAUAGAACACCUAUUGCGAAGGCAGCUUUCUGGACCAAUACUGACGCUGAGGUACGAAAGCGUGGGUAGCAAACAGGAUUAGAUA